GGGCCGGUAGUCCAGCCUGGUAUGCUUAGCUUGCACGGAACGGACGUCGCCCUCACACGGCGAAGGUCGUGGGUUCAAAUCCCUCCCGGCCCACCA
rnacentral:tRNA from 2 species